GACGAACGCUGGCGGCGUGCUUAACACAUGCAAGUCGAACGGAAAGGCCCUGCUUUUGUGGGGUGCCAGAGUGGCGAACGGGUGAGUAACAUGUGAGUAACCUGCCUUUGACUUUGGGAUAACUUCAGGAAACUGGGGCUAAUACCGGCUAGGAGCUCCUGCUGCAUGGUGGGGGUUGGAAAGCUUGGGCGGUUGGGGAUGGACUCGCGGUUUAUCAGCUUGUUGGUGGGGUAGUGGCUUACCAAGGCUUUGACGGGUAGUCGGCCUGAGAGGGUGGCCGGCCACAUGGGGACUGAGAGACGGCGCAGACGCCUACAGGAGGCAGCAGGGGGGAAUAUGGCACAAUGAGCGGAAGCCUGAUACGACGACGCCGCGAGCGGGAUGACGGCCAUCGGGUUGGAAACCGCUUUCGCCUGUGACGAAGCGGGAGUGACGGUAAUGGGUAAAUAAGCACCGGCUAACUACGUG
rnacentral:rRNA from 1 species